rnacentral:lncRNA from 1 species
CCGACCGCGGACGGACGCACAGACCUACAAACCCGCAAGCCUGGGAACCGGCUGUGGGAUCCCGCGCGCCGCCCCACCUAAGGGGUUAGCCACCUCGCCAUGAAGCCCCGCACCUGCUGAACUAGGAGCGCCCGAGGAUGUCUGUCCUGAGAAAGGCUUUCCCACCAUCUGAGGCCCGGCCCUAGGACUGUGGUUUCACACCAGCCAGCGAACCCUCAGCCUGCGCCCCGCCAGCCACAAUGGGAACGGCUCAGGUUCUGCCCGGCAUCCUGCAGAAGCACUGCUGCAUCCUACCAGACAGGAACACAGGUACGGCCACCUUCUUUCUGCACUUUGAGAUCACAGGUUGUGAACCAGUGGCAGCUUUGAGAGAAGCGAUGCCGAUGGUAGACGUUUUGUGGGUGUUUUUUAGUUGAUGUUUUUAGUACUUUGUUAUUUAUUAACUGAAAGAAGC